GUGCCCACUUUGGCAGCACAUCUACUAAAAUUGGAACAAUACAGAGAUUAGCAUGGUUCUUGUGCAAGGAUGACACGCACAUUCGUGAAAUGUUCUGUAUAUUU